AGACGUCUACAUUAGAUACCCGUGUAGUCCCAGCCGUAAACUAUGCGCGUUAGGUGUAUCGGUGACCACGAGUCACCGAGGUGCCGAAGGGAAACCGUGAAACGUGCCGCCUGGGAAGUACGGUCGCAAGGCUGAAACUUAAAGGAAUUGGCGGGGAGCACAACAACAGGUGGAGCCUGCGGUUUAAUUGGACUCAACGCCGGGAAGCUCACCGGAUAGGACAGCAGAAUGAUUGCCGGGCUGAAGACCCUGCAUGACUAGCUG
rnacentral:rRNA from 1 species